AUUGAACGCUGGCGGCAUGCCUUACACAUGCAAGUCGAACGGUAACGGGCCUUCGGGUGCCGACGAGUGGCGAACGGGUGAGUAAUGCAUCGGAACGUGCCUUUCAGUGGGGGAUAACGUAGCGAAAGUUACGCUAAUACCGCAUAUUCUGUGAGCAGGAAAGCAGGGGAUCGCAAGACCUUGCGCUGAUUGAGCGGCCGAUGUCAGAUUAGCUAGUUGGUGAGGUAAAGGCUCACCAAGGCGACGAUCUGUAGCGGGUCUGAGAGGAUGAUCCGCCACACUGGAACUGAGACACGGUCCAGACUCCUACGGGAGGCAGCAGUGGGGAAUUUUUGGACAAUGGGGGCAACCCUGAUCCAGCCAUGCCGCGUGAGUGAAGAAGG
rnacentral:rRNA from 1 species